AGGAUAUUUGACAGAAAUUACGGAAUGAGCCAGCGCAUUGUCUUACGGAUGCUUUAUCACUUUUUACACUCACAUGAAACAUAAUUUUUUUAUAAUGGCAUCCAUUUUUGGUAUGAAAAGCCGAUCUGAUUACUUAACAACUAACGAAAACAAUGUAACAAAUUAGUUGUAGCAAAUUAAUAUCUUUAAAUUCACAACAUAAUUCAAAAAAAUCUUCUGGGGACGAUAUCAGUACUUCUAUAUAAAAUUGUUAGGUCCUAUCCAAAAUCAGGAGUAUUGUAACGUUCCUCGGGUAAGAAUCCAGAAACAUCUGGAACAAUAAUUAUCCAAUGAUAGAUGACCAGCCACUGGUGUACCAAUCUCACUAUAGUUUUCACUACUUUAAGUCAUGACCCUUAGGAAUAAUGGUAUUUUUCCCAACUGGUUGCAAUAAAAACUUUACAAGACAUGUGUCAGAUCCAUAAUGAAAUACGAAAUACAGAUACAAAAGGAAGCAAGUAGAAAAAUAUUUUGAAAGUAGCAAAAAUAAGAUGGUUUUCAUCGGAAAACCCAGAAAAGAUACCGAUAUAAGGCAACAAUGCAGAAUAUUUGCAGCCACUGCAAAAAAUAUAAAACCAUAAUUCCAUUUUAAAAACUAACCAGAAGAUGGAGACUACCUUUCUCAAAGAAUAAUACAGGUAUAACUAAGACACAAAAGAGUUAAAUAUUACACUAAUAUAACUAGUUUAUUGUGGAGAUUAUUAAAAAAAGAAUGUUUAGAAAUAUUUAGGUUGAAUUUACUGAUAUAUUGGCCAUAUUUUGGAUAGGAAGUCUCGUUUCACUGCGGAAUGUGAGAAGAUAAUUUGGAAAUAAGUGGAGUUGAUCAGGGAAUCCGAAUGAAAUUAUGGGUUGAAAAAGUUGAUUGAUUUUUAAGAAAAUUAUUUACAUUGAUUGGUAGUUCUUAUCUCUACGUAUUACUAUGAUUAUUUUAUUUCCAACAACACUCCUCUUUUUCCGUGCUUGAGAUCAGCGAAAAUAUCGUUAUAUUACGCUUGUAACGUGUUCAUGUGUCAGAGUUGAACAUUUAUUUAUGUAUAAAAGAAAACCUAAUACAAAUAAUGAUCAAAAUCAUCAGUAUAAAUUCAUUCAAAUCACUAAUUACAAAAAAUAUCGUUCUCUUGAAAUUACAUAUUUGAUACAAAUGUUUCAAAGAUCUUUAUAAUCUGCAAAUAAGUAUUAAUUUGACCUAAUCCACAAUCUGACAACUGAAUGCAAACAAAGUUGGAUUAGGUUCUCUAAUAUUAUUCUCCACGAACAACUAUAUUCAUUGUAAGAGGUUACAUACACAAUUAGAAGGUGACAAUCAAAGACAUGCUGCCCAACUCUUUACAAAGCUCAUCAUUUUAAAUUUAUGGGAUAUAAUUAUUUCAUACAAUUGUUUAUCUAUUACUUUUUGGAUCCUAUAAAGGUUAGUAUGUGAGCCUUUUUGAUUUGAUUAUUGGGUAUCUUCACCUGCUGUAACAAACGGUUGAGGCAUCGUCCAAAACAAUGAAUGAACUGGUACGUACAUUGAAAGCUAUAGUUCUUUGCAUCAUCUACCCACCAAUAACGAAUCAAAUGAUGGCUUCGGUUAUGCACAAUUUGUAACGAUUGCUUUAUGGCCGUAAGUGUUUUUAUAUUUAAACCCACAAGAAACUCUAGUAAUUUUACUGAAUAAUUUCUGAAAUCGGAUUUCUGUUUGUAUAGAUUAUAAAUCUGUAAGAGAAUAACGUCUCUGACAUUUUCAAUAAUCUUUUUUAACUUGAUGUUAAAUUGCUCUUUUUCCACAGGAAGAUCUGCCAUUAAACCUUGUAAAUAGUGGAAAAAAUCAAUCCGGCAAGUCUUAUUGCCAUUUAUAUUUUUAAUGAACAGGUUUAAGCCGAUCGAAACUUUUCAAAAUCUUUAUACAAGCAAGUCGUUGCGUUAGUCAGAAAUACUAAACUGCUUUAGAGGACUAGUCAUUCCCUUAAAAAAAUUUUACACAAUUUGGAACUAUAAGGAUUGUACAAAUCAGAAACUGAUAAUGUCAGCCAUGAAAACUAUUCAUAUUAAAUAAUGCAAUUAUUGUACCCUACUAAUUCUCUUAAAUAGUAAUCCUGGUUAUUACCGAUCUCUCAAGUUCCUCGAUACCUUCAUGUAUCUUUUCCCUGAAUGGAAAAUGAGAUUUAUAUACUAUUUUUUAUUUGUAUAAAGUAAUGUUAACAAUAAUCUAAUAUUUUAUAUCGUUUGUGUUAUUUGUAAGUUCCUUCUAUUUUCAAUCUAUAUAUAUUUGAAUGAUCAUAAUCGUAAUAAUGUCCCGAGAAAAAGCAAAUUGGUUACACGGCACAUGCACUUGCCUAAAGUUUCUUAAAUAUUAUCUUUACAAGCAUUUUUGUAGUAAAUUAUUACAAAAGACUGAUUCUUCUUAAGAUUUUUAAAAUGUUCAUUAUUAGUUUUAAAAGGAGGGAUUUUCACGUUUAUUAUAAGUUUCAUUUUUUUACUUUCGGUCGAUUGAACGCUGGCCCUAGUAUAAAAUCUUAUAAGACUAGAGGAUCAAACUUUAGGGAUUUGUUUACUAUGUUUGAGUAACUAAUUAUUAAUCUAGGGUAAUUUACUAUAAAAGGGCAAUGAUAUGUAAAUAUUUGCAUGUCAUUUCAAAUUAAAAUUUGGUUGAUAGUUUGGUUUUCAUCAACUAUUUUUUAGGUUAACAAUGAUUUGUUUGGAGCCAUUUGCUUUAAUAUGAUGGUAAGAUGUCAAAUCUUUGGUUAUAAUUUCACAUUAAAUACGGUUUUAAUUUUGGUGAUCAUUUACUAUUUUUGGCUGUUACAUUUUACUUUUUCUGGUGGUUAAACGUAAGCUAUAUGGAAUGACAUCGAGGUAAUAGUCAUACAGAUAAUUGUUAUUAUUUAUUUGGAACUAAAUACUUGGUUUAGUUUUCUUACUAAUUCUGGAUUACUGUUUUUAUACUGAAUUUGACACUUUUGUGAAACUGAUUACUUCGUAAGCCAAUUGUUUGUUAAUAGUUUGUUACUAAAGCAAAUGUUUUGAAGUUUUGUAUACAGGUAAUUCAAGAAAUGUGAAAAAUUUUUUGAUUAAAACAUAUUCCAGGCAUUUAUUUACCAAUUAUAGGUUCGUUUAAGCAAUCGAAAAUUUUUAAAAAUGUUUAAGGAUAUCUUUGAUCUAUUUAUAUAUCUGAAAGUAAGAAGAGAUUUGUUUCAAAUGAUCUCGGCAAACUGCGGGUCGCGAGCCGCAUGCAGCUCUUUGGAUGUAAAUUUGUGAUUCUUUAGUUCCAUGCACAAAGCACUCUACUAUCGUCAGUUUAACUCAGUACUCCGACCUCCUUUUCAUAAUAAAGUGCGAUGGCUUUCCAAAAGUAAGAUGUUAAAACGUUUUGACUCGUGCUUGAAUGAAAUAAAUACAUUCCUAAAUGAGAGUGAAUUGAAGAGCCUCAAAUGGUUGCAAAAAUUUCACUUUAUGGUGGAUUAUAAAAGAUAUUCAGAGCAGUACAUUACUUCAUUGUUAAUUUUAAAAGCAAUAUCGCGAGAAAACCAGUACAACUGUUAACACUAAUUACUCCAGCACACUUAUAAAAAAAUUAAUGACGAAUUUACUGAGACAUUUGAGUAAUUUAAAACCAACAAAACCAAACUAGAUUUAUAAUAAAUUCUCUUAGCAUAAAUAGUAACUAAAUCUACAUCGAGCCAUUUAGAAUUGAAACUGGAUCUCUAGAAAUGCAAUUCACCGAUUUAAAAAGUAAAGCUUUGGGGAGUAGAAAAUUUACAGAAUUUAAAAAAAAUUGGAAGAGUUGGAGGUCCAGAAUUGUAUGUUCAUAACGCAACAAAUGUGGACAGCUCUAAAAGAAAUUCCGCGAUUUGAGGUUCUUAUCUUCGAUGCAUGGAAUAGUCUCCCAGAAUUCUUCAGUAAGGUGAAGAAGUUGACAUUUGGAGUGAGUGCUGACGAUCUUCGGAUCGACAUAUUCGUGCGAGCAAACGUUUUCUUGCAUGAAUAUAAUUAAAAGUAAAGUGGGAAGCCAACUAACAAAUGACAAUUUAGAGUUGUAUUCUGAACUUAAAACAAUUUACGAACCAAAUUUAUCCAAACUAUCUAAAAACCUGCAAAGCCAACACUCCCAUUGAAUUUGUAAGCAAACAUGUAUGUUAUUGGUUUUUUAUUUUAAAUACAAGUUACAUUAUUUAGUGAAGCUUGAAUUUUCUACUAAAAAACCAAGUAAAGCCAUCGCUCUCAUUGGGUAUGUUUGUCCAAUUGUUUGUUAUUGAAAGUUUGGAUUGUAGUAAAUGUUGAUUUGCUUUAGUUUUUUGUUCAUUAAAUGAUAGGAUAUUAUCUAAUAAUACGAUAUAAAUAUUCAUGUAUAUUAUAAUAGAUAUAAAAUAGAUAUUUUCUGCUAUGAA